UUCUCUUUAACAAACCUCUGAGAAACAGGAAGGAGGCGACCACAUUAUCGCCCUAAACCACUUCUCAACAUAAACAGAGAGCGAAAAAGUCGUACGAUGUCAGAAACCCUUUCAGUAAAGUCUUAGUCAAAGAAGCCUGCGUCUGUUUGCAGUCAAAAAGCACCUGAGAACAACUUACAUAAUGUAUUUGCCUAGAUCAUCUGGGGAAGUUUACAUAGUCUGCUGUUUGCAUAGCAGAGCGCAUAUCUAUUAGGCUGUUUGGUUAUAUAAAGGGACACAGAACUUUUUUUGGGGGGAGUGGGGGGUUUACAAACCAGGGCCGAGAUGCACGCACACAGCUGCACAUCCUAUUGGAAAAACAAGAAGACAGAAGGAAAAACUGUCAGUCACAGCUGGACUGCCUGCUGUGCGACUCCAGAAGACGACAGCGCAGGCCUUUCCUUCCCAGGAGCUGAAGAGAAGGAGACAGGAGGAGAAGACAAUGAAGACAAAGUACUCUGUGGUCUGGGACUUCCUCAGACAUGACCCCCGUGACAUUUUGUCGACCGUAUUUAAACCAACUACUGCUGCAAAACUCUGCUGGCGUCCGAAAAUAGAUAAAACAUCCACCAUCCUGGAGCCAUGUCGGGAGAAACAGAAUAGAAGGACCGAUGUAUUAAAGAAAGAAAAUGAGGCACCUAAAAAAGUAUUAAAAUUUUUCUUGUUUUGACAACCUGCAUUGUAUCUCGUUGGGUUUUUAAGUGAUACAACAACCCAAAUCCAUGCAGAAUCAUUAAAUGGAAUGAAAAUAAUGCAAGAACUAAAAGUGUGGCAUUCAUUAUUAUUUUUGCUCCC